rnacentral:lncRNA from 10 species
CAUCAUGCGAUACUGACGUAAUGGUCUGGGGCACACUGACUGGCUGCCUCAGAACUGGUCACUCUCUCUUUCUUUUCGCAUAUGGAGCAGCAAUCAGCUUACAACUAAAUCACAUCUGAGCACAAGCUGUCUCCACAAAGCCAACCAAAGAGGCAACAUUCACAGGCUGACAAAGCAUCCCUAAAGCAGGAAAGAAAAGAAGCCCCUGAGGCUGCUGCCCGGAGAAGGAAAAGGCUUUCAACAUUCAUACCAGUCUGUUGGGGCAUUGUGCAGACCACAGAGGGAGAGUAACUGAUGGAAUACUCUCUGAAGUUCACACUUGGGCGAAGCUGCAUGUUUAACAUCAGGAGUGGGAGGAAAGUUUCACUUUCCCCAACCCUCCAAUGCCAGAAUCCAUCCUCUCUGUGUGAACUGGAACGAGGUGCACUCAGUCACGUAGGAUGGUGACUAAUCAACUCAUUACACUUUAGAGUAAAUGAUUUUCAAUAAAUUGCCUCAUCCAAACAUUUCUAUCUUAAACCAUUCAUCUCUGCUGCUCAAAGUUUAAUCUGUUUCUAAAGGAACUUAGACAUCUGCAAGUAGUUGAGGAAAACAUUUCUGAAAAUAAGAAUAAUGUCAUUCAUCCAACACAUUUUAUUAUAAAGUUUACCGUUACAGAAUGAAAUUUGCCCCCUUGAAAAUUCAUAUGCUGAGGCCCUGACCCACAAUGUGACUCCAUUUACAGAUAGGGUCUUUAAAGAAGUAAUUAAGGUUAAAUGAGGCUAUAACAGCGGGCCCCUAAUUUGAUAGGGCUGGUGUCCUUAUAAGAAGAGAAAAAGACAAGAGCUCACUCACUUCUGGGCUUACGUGCUCUCUCUCUGAGAACACACAGAGGAAAGGCUAUGUGGGGACACCAAGAGAAGACAGCUGUCUGCAAUCCAAGAGGAGAGGCCCCACCAGAAACUGACCCUGCUGGCACCUAGAUCUUGGCAUGUCCAGAACUGUGAGAAAUUUGUCUUGUUUAAACCACCCAGUCCAUGGCAUUUUAUUGUGGUGCCAGGCAGACUAAUACACUUCCUUACCUAUUUGUCAAGCACUGUGUUAGACAGUAGGGAUACAAAAUCGAGUAAAGCAGAGCCCUUAUUUGCUCAGAAUUAAUGGCGGUGAGGAAGAUAGAGAAGAGGAGGUGUGAUCAGUGGCACUACUGAUUCAUUUGUCUAGCGUGGUUUAGGCAGUACCAGAAGGGAUGGGGCAGACGGUACACUUCUAUAAAGUAAGUCAUGUUUAUCUGUAACAAUUUUUUUUUUCUGCUUUUUUGAGAGGGAGUCUCUCUCUUGUCACCCAGGCUGGAGUGGAGUGGCAAAAUCUCGGCUCACUGCAGCCUCCUCCUCCCGGGUUCAAGCAAUUCUCCUGCCUCAGCCUCCUGAGUAGCUGUUAUUACAGAUGCCCGCCACCAUGCCCAGCUAAUUCUUGUAUUUUUAGUAGAGACAGGAUUUCACCACGUAGGCCAGGCUAGUCUCAAACUCCUGACCUCAGGUGAUCCACCCACCUCGGCCUCCCAAAGUGCUGGGAUUACAGGUGUGAGCCAUCGUGCUCGGCACAAAUUUUAAAUAUUGUAGAAACAAUCAUAGUAGACUGAGGCUGGGUUGGUUAGGCUUCUUUUAUAAGAUAGUGAUUUAUUUUUUAAAAGAAACUUUUAAAAGAAAGCCUCCCACUUAGAGAUAAUUAGAAUAGCAAAGCAUUUAAAGAACUAGAAAGAUUCUUGGGUAGUCUGGGUUAGCUGUAACACACAAUAAGACCCUCAGUCUUUCACUCUGCCCUUCACACUCUCCCCAGGAAUCCUUCUAGUAAUCUUAACUCCCUCAUGAUACCACUAUCUACCAGUUGCUCCAGCAAAAAAUCCAACAGUCAAACUUUAUUUCUCUCUGUAUUUCAUUUUGUACAUCUAUGUCAGCAACAGAUCCCACUGCUUCUAAUUCCAAAAUAUAUCAUAAACCGAACUAUCUGUCUCCACUGCCACCUCCUCAGCCCAACUACAAUCUGCUCUCAGCUAGAUUUCAUUAAACUCUCCAAUGUCUCCAAGCUUUCCCAACAAAUCGUUCUCCCUACAAGAGUGAAAUUAAUCAUUUUUAAAGGAUGGACCUCUGUUUACCCUUAAAACAAAUGAUUAUAUAAUACUGAAUACACAUAUUUAAGAAAAAUAGAGCAGACAUCUAUAUAGCUACUACACAUUUAAAUCUCCUUAUGUGUCUCUUCCCAAUUAACUAUGCUGUUCAUCAUCUUCCAACUAACCUGUACUUGAUAUUUAUUUUACUAACAUACUUCUUUUGGUUGUCUAAAUCUAUCUCUAAGCAAUAUAUAUUAUUUUUGCAUUUUUAAAGUUUGGUGUAAAUGAUAUUUUAUUGUAUUUAUUCUUUGGCAAUUUGUUUUUAUCUCAUUAUUAUGCUUGUGACAUUUAUUCUCGUUCAUUUUUGCUUCUGUAUAAUAUUCCACGUUCUGAAUAAAC